CGCCAGACUCCUACGGGAGGCAGCAGUGGGGAAUAUUGCACAAUGGGGGAAACCCUGAUGCAGCGACGCCGCGUGAGUGAAGAAGUAUUUCGGUAUGUAAAGCUCUAUCAGCAGGGAAGGAGUUGACGGUACCUGAGUAAGAAGCCCCGGCUAACUACGUGCCAGCAGCCGCGGUAAUACGUAGGGGGCAAGCGUUAUCCGGAUUUACUGGGUGUAAAGGGAGCGUAGACGGCAGUGCAAGUCUGAAGUGAAAGCCCCGGGCUUAACCCGGGAAUUGCUUUGGAAACUGUACGGCUGGAGUGCUGGAGAGGUAAGCGGAAUUCCUAGUGUAGCGGUGAAAUGCGUAGAUAUUAGGAGGAACACCAGUGGCGAAGGCGGCUUACUGGACAGUAACUGACGUUGAGGCUCGAAAGCGUGGGGAGCAAACAGGAUUAGAUACCCCGGUAG
rnacentral:rRNA from 1 species